rnacentral:rRNA from 1 species
UUGAAAGGGAAACGAUUGAAGUCAGUCAUGCUGGUGGGAAUCAACUUAGGGGAAACUCUAGGUGCACUUCUUCGCUUGGCAGGUUAACGUCGAUCUUGAAUGCCAUAAAAUAAUUGGGGGAAGGUAGCUCCUUCGGGAGUGUUAUAGCCCUUGAUAGAUGUGAUGUUUGGGGUCGAGGAUUGCAACGGAUACCCUUUGGGGCUAGCCGCCUGAUCUCUAAUCGGUGUUGGGUUACGGAUAGCAUGCUGACUGUGAUCCAAUUACUGGUUAAAAGGUUAGAGCGUGCAUAAAUUCGUUAAGGAUGUUGACGUA